rnacentral:sRNA from 1 species
AGCCAGGACGGAGUGUUUACAACUAAUUGAUUACAACCAGUUACAGAUUUCUUUGUUUCUUCUCCACUCCCACUGCUUCCCUUAACUAGCCUUUA